rnacentral:rRNA from 1 species
UGCGCAGGCGGUUUUGUAAGCCUGAUGUGAAAUCCCCGGGCUCAACCUGGGAAUUGCAUUGGAGACUGCAAGGCUAGAAUCUGGCAGAGGGGGGUAGAAUUCCACGUGUAGCAGUGAAAUGCGUAGAUAUGUGGAGGAACACCGAUGGCGAAGGCAGCCCCCUGGGUCAAGAUUGACGCUCAUGCACGAAGCGUGGGAGCAAACA